UACGUAGGGUGCGAGCGUUGUCCGGAAUUAUUGGGCGUAAAGAGCUCGUAGGCGGUGUGUCGCGUCGGUCGUGAAAACUUUCAGCUUAACUGGGAGCUUGCGGUCGAUACGGGCAUCACUGGAGUUCGGCAGGGGAGACUGGAAUUCCUGGUGUAGCGGUGAAAUGCGCAGAUAUCAGGAGGAACACCGGUGGCGAAGGCG
rnacentral:rRNA from 1 species